AUGGAUGCCCACCUCUCUUGGAGAAACCCUAGCCGCCUCCUCUUACUCGCCUUAUUUGGAAGCAAGAAAUCCUGGCGCGUGGGGCAUCUUGGCUGCCCAAGUUUCCUUAGCCUAUUAUUAUUAUUAUUAUUAUUAUUAUUAUUAUUAUUAUUAUUAUUAUUAUUAUUAUUGAUGAUGAAGGCUCCAAGUUAUAUUUAGAAGUUACAAUAUCUCCAUUAGAAAAAAUGUAUCCAAAGAAAAAAUAGGUCAAUUAUGGAUUAUCAUACCUAUCUUCACCCCUUGUCUCAGUAAUUGGUCAACCCAAUAUUCUCCUCUCAUUUCUAUUUG
rnacentral:lncRNA from 1 species